rnacentral:rRNA from 1 species
UACAGAGGGGGCAAGCGUUGUUCGGAAUUACUGGGCGUAAAGGGCGCGUAGGCGGCCUGUUAAGUCGAACGUGAAAUCCCCGGGCUCAACCCGGGAACUGCGUCCGAUACUGGCAGGCUUGAAUCCGGGAGAGGGAUGCGGAAUUCCAGGUGUAGCGGUGAAAUGCGUAGAUAUCUGGAGGAACACCCGUGGCGAAGGCGGCUCUCUGGGACGGUACUGACGCUGAGACGCGAAAGCGUGGGGAGCGAACAGG